rnacentral:rRNA from 1 species
UAGGGAAUCUUCGGCAAUGGACGAAAGUCUGACCGAGCAACGCCGCGUGAGUAAAGAAGGUUUUCGGAUCGUAAAACUCUGUUGGUAGAGAAGAACGUUGGUGAGAGUGGAAAGCUCAUCAAGUGACGGUAACUACCCAGAAAGGGACGGCUAACUACGUGCCAC